rnacentral:lncRNA from 1 species
GGACUUGCCUAGACUUGUUAAGAGUUUUGUCUCUGGGACUCUGGAGCAAGCGGUAACAUUGCCCACCAAUGGUAUGAAGCCAAGGAGGCAAUGUCUGGCAUUGUUUCCAAGGCAACAGACAAGUCUGAACACAGAGCUGCCUCAGAAGAGCCACAGAGGCCUGUUUGCAGGACAAACAGGAGCUGUUCCAAAGGGAUUCCAGCUGAAGUUUUCAGUCAAGCCAAGCAGCAGAAGCCCCAACCCUAGAGCCUUCAGCAAAAUUUCAUAGGACAUGGCUUUCCUGAAAACUGGCCCAGUGGACUGGAGAACUGGUAGGUUGAUGCCAUAAAGCCAGAUACGUAAUAUUUGUUGGGUUUUUGGUGAGUUGCCAUCUUCAAUAAAUUAGAAGGCAUAAAAAGGUGGCUAAAGGCCAUGCUUGAAUCCAGGAUGAAAACCUGAAGAUGCUUCCCUAGCUGGUCCUAUUCUUAGCAUCUCCCCUAGACAUUUAGGUAUUUCAAACAAGAGUCAGAUUUCACAAUCCUGCCAACCUUCAGUAGCUUGCUGCUAGUUCUCAGUUGGCACAGCAUUAUCU